rnacentral:misc_RNA from 1 species
GAUGAAGAACGUAGUGAAAUGCGAUACUUGGUGUGAAUUGCAGAAUCCCGUGAACCAUCGAGUCUUUGAACGCAAGUUGCGCCUCAAGCCAUUAGGUUGAGGGCACGUCUGCCUGGGCGUCACAUAUCGUUGCCUGAUGCCAGUUUCCUCGUGAUGGGUGACUGUGCAGGGCGAAUGAUGGCUUCCCGUGAGCAUUGUUGCCUCAUGGUUGGUUGAAAAUUGAGUCCUUGGUAGGGAGCGCCGUGAUAGAUGGUGGUUGAGUGACGAACGAGACCCAAUCAUGUGAGACCCCUACCGAAUUUGGCCUUCAUGACCCACAUGCGUCUUUGGAACGCUCAUGACGAGACCUCAGGUCAGGCGGGGCUACCGCUGAGUUUAAGCAUAUCAAUAAGCGGAGGA